rnacentral:rRNA from 1 species
AUUGAACGCUGGCGGCAGGCUUAACACAUGCAAGUCGAGCGAGCGGCGGACGGGUGAGUAAUGUCUGGGAAACUGCCUGAUGUAGGGGUCUAACUACUGGAAACGGUAGCUAAUACCGCAUACCAUCAGAUCUGCCCAUAUGGGAUUCGCGAGUGGGUGGGGUAAUGGCUCACCUAGGCGACGAUCCGUAGCUGGUCUGCGAGGAUGACCAGCAACACUGGAACUGAGACACGGUCCAGACUCCUACGGGAGGCAGGAGUGGGGAAUAUUGCGCAAUGGGCGCAAGCCUGAUGCAGAAAUGCCGCGUGUGUGAAGAAGGCCUUCGGGUUGUAAAGCACUGUCAGCGAGGAGGCGUUACUCACAGAAGAAGCACCGGCUAACUACGUGCCAGCAGCCGCGGUAAUUC